GUACUGCUGAAGAGUCCCAAGCUAGGACGAAAUAGCUGUCCAGUAC
rnacentral:hammerhead_ribozyme from 1 species